rnacentral:lncRNA from 1 species
UUUGAUUUGGUCUGAUAUGAUCCCAUAAUAUCAUACAAAAUAAACUCACAAAAUGCAAAUAACCACAUUGAUGUUAUAUUUUAACGAGAAUGGACAGUUAGUAAUGUUAUACAAUCUGUGUAAACAUCAAACUGUGUGUUUGUGUGUGCAAAGUAUCGAAAAAAGAAUAAGUGCGUAAGAGACAGAAAUUAAACGAAAAAUAUAUGAACAGAAUUCGAGUUCAGUGUGUAACUGUCUUCUUAAAGCGUAUUUCGCUCUCACCGUAUGUGAUGAACGAUCGCCUAUCAGGAUAAAAUGGAUUAAUGGAUUGACGAUACGAGAAGUACCUUCGACGAACUAGAACAAGACUAAAAAUUAUCAUCGACGACUAGAGUUUUAGGAUGCAAGAGGUUGUGUAUUUUUGUGUGUGUGAAAAUACACAAUUUAUUAUAAUAAAUUAUCAGUUGUAUAACAAAGUUUUUCUUCACCCAAACAGACGUCGGCAUUGUUGUUCCCCCCGUAUUGAGGGAAAAAAAAUUUAUGGACAGAAAUCAUAUUUAGUGACAUGCUUAUUAAAAUAUGAUUAUGAUCAUUGAUCACCAAAUUUUAUAAUCAUGUCAUUUUAAGUCUUUAAUAGUGACAUGCAUGCUUAGAUAUACAUGUCUGUUAGUGCACAAAAGCCAAACUACCAAUAGAAUUGACGAUUACAUAAAAAAUUAACAUAAUCAUAAUGUAACAAGAAGACUAGACACUCUACCUAGUUUAUUCGAUUAAUUUAUUUGAUUUAAGUAUUUGCUUUAAUCAGAAAGUUAAGCUCAACUAAUCUCUCCACCAAGCUUAUUGAAUUGACAAUCGAUUUUGAACCAUGAAUUUACUAUAUUUUAUUACCGCCCCUUAAUUUUAUAUUGUUAUAUCUAAAUGACCAUCAUUGUAAGUAACAAUCCGUACAAUUUUUUAUUCGAAAACAAUCAUCAGCAGAGAACAUUUGCUUGGCCAAUAUUAACUUGGUAUCAUUACCUUCAACUUCAUUCAGCAUCGACUUCUAACACUUGUUAGGGAUUGUUAUGUAAUUUCCGAUUUUUUACACUAUAAAAUUAUGUUUUGUUUAUUACACUUGAACCGAUCGACUUCGGAAAGAAAUGCGCCAAAUUAUUAUCAUUCGACAGAAAAGUUAGCGACGGAACUAAAUCGGAAUUUAACACAUUUCAUAUUGAUUUUUAAUAAGAAAAUUUUGUAUAUCACGGUUGCUUUAAGUAAUGUCCAAAAUGUUAUAAUUGUGAAAAAUUGACCGAAAAUAUUAUUUAUUAACGCGUUAAUCCAACAUUUUGAUUUUUAGAAGAAAAUACUAUAUCAUGUUAUGUUUAGGUAUAAAAAUUAUUAUUUAACAUUAUACGAUUUUGUGUUGUUAAGUGAUACGAUAUAUGAAAUGGUGUGUAGCUUGCAGGUCUUCAAAACGCUUCACGAUCUGACAUUAAAAGAGUAAAAGACGCGUACUUUUGGAUUGCAAAAUAAUAUCGGGACCAUUUAUGCUUUGUCAUCUUUAUCUUUAAAAAAAAUGAUAAAUUCGAGGUCACUAUCCAAGAAAAAGAAAAAGUAAACGUCUAUAUAUACGGAAGACGCAUGAGUUUGAAGAAGGACAAGUUAUCUGAAGCAUUUGAAUACUACAAAUAUCGCUCCCUAGCCAACCGGAGAUUUAUUGCAGAGUUGGAUUUUCCAGUGUCUCGUUUGAGUUUUGAUCAGUAUUAUCAUUCAGUAAAGAAGAUCAUUCAAAGCAAGUAACAAGGUGAUUGUAGUUCAUAUUUUGUUUGAUCAAAUCAUAUUCAUUUGGUAUAAAAUGUAUUGUAACAUGCACUUAGUUUCUUCAUUUCAAUUCUACUUCUUUGUCAUCUUAUAGAUCCAUUUCUCUAGGCUAGCUAAUCUUUUUUUUUUUGGAUUCAUUUGAAGAAAUUAAAAGUAUUAGUUUUGUUAAAGUUUAGCAACUACUCUUCACAUGUUAAGGUUUAGGACCUAAGAGGCUAAGAUAUACAUGUUAGUUUAUGGAGACAAGUUCAUAGUCCUUAGUAGAAGACUCUUAAGUGACUUAAAAUUUUGAACAUGCAGUUGUUCAAGAUGGUGCAGUUUUCAUUACUAAUCAAUGGCUUGGCAAAGAAUAUUUCGACUAAGAAUGGGAAGAAAAAGGUUGAUGGUGGAAAGGAAGCUGCAGAUGCAUUGGCUAAGGAGGCGAAAAAAAGUAAUCUGUUGUCAAGUUCUCCUGGAUAUGUCAGCGUUGGAGGGUCUGAAAAUUUCGCCUCUGCCUACUCUAAGAGAGGAAGGAAAGGAGAGAAUCAAGAUUCCGUUAUAGUGUGGGAGGUAUGCAGUGUGCUUAUUAGAUAGAUAAUCAAGGAGUAGCCUAAUGACAGAUAGUUGGAAUCUAUUGUAUCUGAUUGGUUAUUUUUUGCAGAAUUUUGGAUGUCAAGAAGACAUGAUAUUUUGUGGUGUUUUUGAUGGACAUGGUCCUUGGGGUCACCUUAUAUCUAAAAGGGUCAGGGAUUCGAUGCCUUGUUCUUUGCUUUGCAAUUGGCAAGAAGCUCUAGCCCUAUCACUUUACUCUGGUGAAAGCCUUCAUCAGUUCAGUACAUGGAGACAAUCUUACUUGAAGACCUGUUCUGCUAUUGAUCAAGAGCUUGAGCAACAUCCCGGGAUUGAUUCUUUUCACAGUGGUACGACAGCUCUGUCCAUCGUUAGACAGGUGACUGAUAAGUAGACUAAAUCAAUGCAUUUCUGCAUUCCAGCUCUACCUUAUCUAGCAACUUGUGUUCUGCCAUAGUGCUAUUGUGUUAGAAUUCCAGUAUGAUUCUUUUCAGGGCGAUGUCUUGAUUAUAGCAAACGUUGGUGAUUCCCGGGCAGUUCUGGCAGCCACCUCUAGUGAUGGUAACUUGGAGCCAGUUCAGCUUACUAUUGACUGUAAACCCAACUUGCCUCGUAAGCUUCCUCACUCAUUCCUCUAUCUGAAAUAGGCUUGGAAGAAUACUAGUUAGUACAUGAGUAAAAUUUAUGGUACUGACAUUUUUCAUACUUGGAUUCUUUAUAUCAGAGGAGACCGAGAGGAUUACACGAGCAAAAGGGAAAGUAUUUUCUUCAAGUGAUGAGCCUGGGGUGUAUAGGAUCUGGAUGCCAAAUGGAGAGACACCAGGAGGUCCAGGAUUAGCGUUAUCCAGAGCUUUUGGCGACUUCUUUAUUAAGGAUUUCGGUCUUAUUUCUGAGCCAGAAGUGACACAGCGGAACAUAACCAGUGAUGAUCAUUUUGUUAUAUUGGCUACUGAUGGGGUAUGAUGUGAUUUAGCUACACAAGCAUACAAUUGUAGUCAUCUUGAUUGAUGCAAAAUUUAAUUUAUGAUAUUUUUGUUCUGGUUUUUAUUCUGAACAUAUUAUUAAUUCCAUAUUUUGAUCUGUUAGGUUUGGGAUGUUAUCUCUAACCAAGAAGCCAUUGAGAUUGUCUCUUUAGCACUGGACAGGGAAACAUCUGCCAAGAGAUUGGUUGAGCAUGCUGUUCGUGCAUGGAAACGCAAGAGGAGGGGUAUUGCAAUCGAUGAUAUCUCAGCUAUCUGCCUUUUUCUUCACCCUGCUUCGUCGUCUUCUCAGGGAGACUCUUUAAGUUGCUACAAGAAAUCAGCUGAUACUAGCUGAGGAAAGAUCAAAAAUUGGUUGCCAUUGUUUAUUACAAGCUCGUUAAGAUUGCUAUUAUAUUUUUGUAGAAUUGAACGAUGAUCACUUUGAUGAUUGAUCAUCUCAUAUCAUGUCUGUACAUAUAAUCUUUUUCCAAAUUUGUUCACUUCACUUAUUAGGCCUAAUGAGAAAAUUUCAACAUUUGACUCGUCUCGUAUUUGACAAAGAAUUUGAAAUGUGAAAGAAACAACAUGGAUGAAACAAAGAAAGAAUGGUCUAUAUUGUAUUUCUGAUUACAACAAUUAUAUAACAUCAUAAUGGAAGACUAAGAACUCAAAGUAGAGAAUUCUGCAGACGAAGAGCUUGUUAAUGAAGGCGAUCCUUCACCACUCUGUGGGAAAUCAGAGAUGGAAGCAAUCAUACGGCUGAUGCUAAGUGACCGCGCUGGUUUGAAGCUAAGUGAUUUUAUCAACUUGUUAUCAGAGAAGACAUUAGACGAAUUUGAAAGGAUGAAAUAAACCAGAGCCUGAACAACCACAAACAUGACCACCUUGAUGACAAAUGUUUCUGCUUCCAUCACUACUCAAAGAUUUCUUGAUGCCAAUACUUGGAAAGGAACUCGCGUGAAGUUGGGUAUGGAGAAAAUAAGAUGUGUAUGAACUCUGAAAAAUACUGGAUGUGUUUAGGAUUAUAUAUAGAAUGGUGCUGUUCUAAAGAAGUUGGCUGUGACUUGUUUCUGGAAAGAAGGAGGAAGCUGUUUUAGUUUGGCCUUAAACGUGAGUUUUUGUUAGGAAAGUGGCUUCAUCUUAUCCAACAUUAGUUGUUAUGACCUAUGACUCAUCAGUCAUUGCUAAAUUGUAUAAACAGGAAAAGUAAAGAAACUUGAGGGUGGCUUCUGUUAUUAAUAAUUUAAAUGAUUUCUUCUCCUUUCUGCUAGCUGUUUUCUAGAAGACAAAAUUAUAUAAUGUUAAGCCUCAAUCACCAGACUACUUGCAUUAUAUUCUCAAGUUGCUUGGUUUGGACAGGGGCUUCAUCUGAAGACUAUAAAAUUAACAGCUUCUUGAAACUUCUGAUUUUUUCCAAAUUAUUUCAGUAUCUUACAAAUUGACCAAGUUAUCCCAGGCACCCGGGGAAAAGACAGUCUCUGUACUUUUUAUGGUAUCUCUUUGCUUCUUGGAAAACAAUUAAGGCCUGUGUAUAUCUCUGAAUUUCAUUCAUCAACUAAUCGAAAAUUAAAACAGGCAUAUCACUGACAAUAGACCCUAUCCACUCAGAGCAACUUAAAAUCCUCGACAUCUAUUAAAGUAUGAAUUGAUUCGUUUGCUACUCGAAUAGGACUAUAUCCUGUAUUCAUGAUUGGUCACAUGUUAUAUACUCUUCAAAUUGAAAAAAUACAGUCUUCAUGAAUUUCCCAGUUCUCUGAUAAACAAUUCUCUUAUUUUUAUACAUAGGCAUACUUUAGCUCUGUCACUCCAGUCUGGUGAAUGCCUUCAUCAGCUUAGUACCUGGGAACAAGCUUAAUUGAAGACUUGUUCUGCUAUCGAUCAAGAGCUUGAGCAUCAUCCUGGAAUUAAUUAUUUUUACAGUGGUACUACUGCUCUGUCCAUCUGAGACAGGUGAGGCAAUAUGCUACAACAUUUAUAAAUUGAUUGAAUUUUUUCAUUUCUGCUCUUAGGCUCUAUUUAUCAAGAGCUGUCAGCAACUACUUCAUCAAGGAUUUCGGUUUUAUUUCUGAGGCUGAAGUGACACAUCAAGCAUUACCAGGGAUGAUCAAAUUUGAUAAAUUGGCUACAGAUGGUGUCUGUGUUAUAGUAGCUUAUGAUUGAACUACUACUCUAUAUAGUGACAUAAUUAUUAGCUAAUUCUACCGCUUUUAUGAUUGAGAAUUCUAAUACCGAGUCAGAAAAUCCGGGCAGUUAUAUUGUUCAGGGCUAUUUAAUAUUGUCAGACGUAUCUCAGCUCCUUAGCUUUCACAUCCCUUUGAGGCAAUAACUUUUCAUUGUUCAACUUGUGAUGCAUCAGGUGAAUAUAUAGGAGCAGUAUUUCUCUCGUUUCGUAUUUGACAAAGAAUUUGAAAUGUGAAAGAAAAACAUGAAUGAAUCAAAGAAACAAUAGUCUUAAUUGUAUUUCUGAUUAUAACAAUUAUAUUACACCAUAAUGGAAGACUAAGAAUCAAAGAAUACCCCAUGAGUCCAUGACACUGAGUUGCUACAUUUGAGAACCACAGGCAUCAAAAGCACUGCACAGCUACUAGUAUUGCUGUAUACAUUUUUAGUUACAACUCAAAUUAGAGAAUUCUACAGAUGAAGAACUUGUUAAUAAAGGGGAUCCUUCACCACUCUGUGGGAAAUCAGAGAUGGAAGCAAGCAUACGGCUGAUGCUAAGUGACCGCGCUGGUUUGAAACUAAGUGAUUUUAUCAACUUGUUAUCAGAGAAGACAUUAGACGAAUUCGAAAGGAUUAAAUAAACCAGAGCCUGAACAACCACAAACAUGACCACCUUGAUGACAAAUGUUUCUACUUCCAUUACUCUUCAGCACUUUCAGCCCCAAAGUUUACUACUACUCAAAGAUUUCUUGAUGCCGAGACUUGGAAAGGAACUCGUGUAAAGUUGGAUACGGAGAAAAUAAUAUCUGAAUGAACUAUGAAGAAUACUGGAUGUGUUUAGGAUUAUAUAUAGAAUGGUGCUGUUCUAAAGAAGUUGGCUGUGACUUGUUACUGGAAAGAAGGAGGAAGCUGUUUUAGUUUGGCCUUAAACGUGAGUUUUUGUUAGGAAAGUGGCUUCAUCUUAUCCAACUUUAGUUGUUAUGACUCAUCAGUCAUUGCUAAAUUGUAUAAGACAGAAAACAAAAGAAACUUGAGGGUGGCUUCUGUUAUCAAUAUUUUAAAUGAUUUCUUCUCCUUUCUGUUGGCUGUUUUCUAGAAGACAUACUACACUGUUCAAGCUCAAUCACCAAACCACUAGCAUACUUUUCUUAAGUUUCUUGAUGUGGACAGGGG